CGUAGGUGGCAAGCGUUAUCCGGAUUUAUUGGGUGUAAAGGGCGUGUAGGCGGGACUGCAAGUCAGAUGUGAAAACCACGGGCUCAACCUGUGGCCUGCAUUUGAAACUGUAGUUCUUGAGUGUCGGAGAGGCAAUCGGAAUUCCGUGUGUAGCGGUGAAAUGCGUAGAUAUACGGAGGAACACCAGUGGCGAAGGCGGAUUGCUGGACGAUAACUGACGCUGAGGCGCGAAAGCGUGGGAGCAAACAGGAUU
rnacentral:rRNA from 1 species